UCAUUUAACUUCGUCGUCGCCGUUUCAUUUUGCCUUGACUCUUAAAUUGUAAAUGUUUGUCUCGUGUAUGUAUCCUCGUCUUGACCGCUGAGUGAGGUAUUAUGAGCAUACUGAAACGUCGGUUGGUUUUAUCCAACUGUCCGAAAUUGCAACUUGUUUGCGGGGUCGCCUCGGACAAACAUUUUCGGGCUGUGGUUGGCAGCUUCGCAAAUACGAGUAUACCAGUGUCCGCAGCAAAUAAUACAAGCAACCCUGUCCUUUCAAUAAACGCCAGCUAGAGUUACUUCGUUACACACUAAGCUUUAUAGGUUAAUCGAAUAUUAAAAAUAAACAGAUAGAAGAAUUUUAUAUCAUUCCACAAAUAAUUUAAUCAGUUAAUGUUCCUGAACAUCUGGUGAAAUCAGGAUUAACUUAUUGUUUGGACCAAUUCAACUGUUACGAAUAAAUUCCAGAGAUGAGAAGCAGUCUGGAAAACAAGAAAACUCGAAAAAAAAUGCAGAAAAAACUAAUGGUGCGUAGGUAAACACAAAUUGAUAGCAUGCAGACAGACGUACUUGAAUGAAUUUUAAAAUCAUUACAGUUCUAUUUUUGUAUAUAAAUUCGCGCAUAUUUCAAUAUUUCUGUAAGAAUGAUAACAUAAUUAAUUAUUUUUCAGAAAAAAAAUUAUUCAUUCAUGAAUUUGUUUUAUUUUUCAUUGUUCUGUGUGUUUUCUUUAUUUGUUUGACGAUGAAUAAAUAUACUUACACAUUUUAAUGAAAA